GUAACAUCCCUUUGGGACUCUGCUGCUGCCCGGAACAUGGUUUCUUUUGGGUAUCUGGCUCUUCCUCCAUUUGCCCUCCUUUUUACCCCACUCCUUUCCCCCAGGCCAUCCUGUACUUCUGGAUCACCCUCUUGCAAGGUCCCGUGCUUCAGACUGGAAAUGGCUCAGCCGUGGUGCAGGUUUCAGUGCAAGUUGAGUUCUACGUCAAGAACCUGGAUGGCUCAGUUACUUCCCUAGUCAUCCUGGAAGAUAGCCUCAGCUUGAGUGUGGUCUUCUCAGUGGCCAACAGCGACUGUUUGUUGCCGUGUCCAUCUCCGGCCAUAAAGUUGCCUUCAUUUCUUCAGGUGUGGGCAUUACUGAUAUCAGCAGUCUUGAACCUCACUGUGGCAGUCUGCUGGGUGAAACCUUUUUGGUUUCUCUCAAUGGGUUCCUCAGUGUAGGACUUCCUCUGCCUUCCAUCCUAAACACCGUGGUCAACAAUGCUCUCGUCCAGUUCAUUGAGAAUGGUCUUCUCCUGUGUAUCUAAACCAGAGGACCAGUCCUACGCAGGGGCCUCCUUUGGAGCCAGAGGGAAAGAGGACCAACAGGGACAAACAUCUGAUGCUGCUUUCUUGCUCAACGGUUCUAACUUGAGUCCAGCUGUUUCCUUUUCAUGCGAUUCUCUCAAUAAAGGAGUUGGCUU